UCUGCCUCUGGUGUGCAGCAAGUUGAUGGUUCUGUCUCUGUAUUAUUGUGGAGAUUGGCCAAGUGUUAGUCGAUCUGCAAGCCGGUUUAAGAGCUUGAUUGGACGGUCCAAUUCAACACGGAGCUGAGUGUCUGUUGAAACUUUUCAUCCAUCAAGCGCCGCUUCCAAUUCAACACGGAGCUGAGUGUCUGUUGAAACUUUUCAUCCAUCAAGCGCCGCCUCCGGCCGCCCCGACGACGCCCUCGCCUCCAACCGCCCCGAUGACGCCCUCGCUUCUGCAUUUGGUCCUGAUGUAUUCCUUUGACUAAUGAAUCUAGCAGCAUCAAAGUCCAGAAUAUCCAAAAUGCCUUGGCUUGCUGAACCCUUGUGCUGGUUAGAAAUGCAGAAUUGUGAUAUUGUGCUGGGAGCACUCUUGUUACAGUCAUAAGUUAGAUUUCAGCUUUGCAUCUUUUCAGGUUUAACUGUUGGUUUACAUUGAAAUUGUUAAGCAAGUACCAAAUUGAGUGCAUAGUGUGCAAUUUGUAUUUAGUAAUCUAGUAGCUCAUAAGCAUCAGACCAUAUGUUUUCUUAUAAGCACACUAAAUUGAUGGUUGAAAGAUUUUAUAUGCUUCUGAUGCAUGAUUCUUCUAAUGCUAGGUGAUUUGUUUCUUGGAAUUUGGAAGAGGAAGAAGAUGAAGCGUGGUGGUUAUCUAUCAAUAUGCCUUGUGUUCUAGUUGUACUUCAUAGGUAGUUACAUUGUAUUCUGUAUUGGUCUGGUUGUAUGAACACUAUGUAAAGAUUGUAAUAGGCUAAUUUUGGACGGUAUAUAGUUCUGUUUCAUUUGAAAUAUUUGUCAUUUGUGUACUGUGAAAAUGUGAGAAAUAGAAAGUUGAUGAGUUGGACUUAUUGGUAGAGGCCAAGGCCCAAAACGUAAAUAGCCUG
rnacentral:lncRNA from 1 species